rnacentral:lncRNA from 1 species
UGCAGUCUGUCAUGGUGAGGAAGUCAUGUGCAGCAGAUGUGUAAGGCAUAUGGUCCCAUGCGUACAGUCAGUGAGAAGAAAAAGGACACUGACUUGGGCUGAGCUAUAAAUCAUCAAGGCUUACCACAGUGCCUCACUUGUCUUCACUAAGGCUCCAUGUUUGCAAGCAUCUACAACUUCCCCAAACCAGUGUUUCCAGCUAAGGAUGGGAAUUCUUCAGACACUUGAGCCUAUGGGGCUAUGUUUCCCAUUCAAACUACACCUUUCUAGACAGAAGAAAGCCUUUGUUCAAGGAUGAGGUCUCCUAAGCCAUGGGGCUAUGCCUGAGUACCAGUGGUGUGCCUGAGUUGUGGGCAGCAUCUUGAUCAGCUCUGGGCUAAAGAACUCAGGGCACCCAGUUGCCUGUGUUUCAUUAUAGAACCUGAUGCACUGGGUUUUGUGACCUCUGCCUUUGGCAUUCCCAUGUCCCUGUGUUUGGCAUAGAAUGAUGCAGGGCAGGCAAGGGAGAAACUCAGUGAUACUCUGAGGUCAUGCUUUCAUCCCAGUCUCUUGUUAUGAUCUUAAUCUUCCUUUCCUUCUGGUUUCUAAGAUGCUCCCUUGAGAGCUGUCUCAGAGUAGGCAGUGUUAUUUAUUAUAUUGAUCACCCAUAACAUCCCCCCAAGGCUCAAUGUAGAGGGAAGUGACUGGUCCUAAUGGCACAAUUAGCUUUAUUAUCUUCUGGCUUCUGAUGUAAUGUUUCUGUCGCAGCCUUUGCAGCAAAGGGGAUGAGCCAGGAUGGGAAAUCUGGCGUCAAGAUUGUAAGUCUUGCCGAGUUACUAGUGCUUCAAGUGACCUUGGAUAAUGUUCUCUUUCCUUUUGAUGGCAAUAUUUUAAUUACAAAAAUAUAAAAAGCAUUGAUUGGGUCUGAGACAGUAUACUAAAUCCUCUGUUGAGUUAUCUUGUUGAAACCUCCCAGCAAACCUACAAAGCAUCUAUUGUUUUUUGAUUAUUUAUUUCACUUUAUGUGUAUGAGUGUUUUGUUAACAGUGUGUGUGUGUGUGUGUGUGUGUGUGUGUGUGUAUGUGUGUGUGUGUGUGUGUGUGUGUGUGUGCAUGCACACACACACAUGCACAUGUACUUGUGUGUCUGGUACCUGCAGAGGUCAAAAUGAGGUAUCAGAGUCUCUGGAACUGAAGCUACAGGUUGGUGUCAGUUACUAUAUAUAGGGCCUGGGAACAGAACUUGAACUCCCAAAAGAGAAACAAGUGCUUUUGAUUGCUGAACCAUCUCCCAAGUCCUUCAAAUAAGGACUAUUCUUAAGGCAUCUUCUAUAAGUAACACUCAGAGAGGGUGAGUAACAUGGCUGAUGUCUUGUAGAUAGGGGUGUUAGGCUGGGUUUAAACUUUGGGUACAUGAAUUUAAAGCCAGCAAUAGGAAGCUUUCCACUACCCUGUCUCUUCAACUACUUAAAGGACAGUGAUUCUCAACCUUCUCAAUGCUGUGACUCUUUAAUAUAGUUCCUUAUGUUGUGGUGACCUCCAGCCAUAUUGUAAUUUUGCUACAUUACAUCAUAAUAUAAAUAUCUGUGUUUUUCGGUGAUCUUUAGGUGACCCUUGUGAAAGGCCAUUAAGCACCCUCCCCCAAGAGAGCACAACUCACAGGUUGACUCUGAAGUGCCACUGGAAGUCAGGAACAUGCGUCAAUCCCAGUGCCAUCCCAGCAGCCCCUGUGCUUGCAUCAGGAUAUGAAGAGUCACAUGGACCUGCUUGCUGAAAGCCUGGCUAGAGAUGGAAGUGGAGUCUGUUUGUAGUCAGGACCACAUCAGGCAAGAGGCACCACAUACAAUCCACAGAAGGCCAACUUCUCAACCAGAAGAGUCAGAAGUGCCUCUGGUGAUUGGUAGUGCCAAUCUGACACUACUACUCUGACAGUGCCAGAUCUGGAGCUCAGGGCUCUCGGGGGAGCAGGCAGGCACUUUAUCCCAGGUCCCUGGUGGCUGGGGGUAGGGGGCGGGUGACACGUGACACCGAUGGCUGCCAGGUGCACUCUAAUGAUUGUUUUCACUG